rnacentral:rRNA from 1 species
GAUGAACGCUAGCGGCAGGCCUAAUACAUGCAAGUCGAACGGGAUCCAGAUCAAAGCUUGCUUUGGUCUGGUGAGAGUGGCGCACGGGUGCGUAACGCGUGAGCAACCUACCCUUGUCAGGGGGAUAGCCCGGCGAAAGUCGGAUUAAUACCGCAUGACAUCAUUGAGAGGCAUCUUUCGAUGAUCAAAGAUUUAUCGGACAAGGAUGGGCUCGCGUGACAUUAGCUAGUUGGUAAGGUAACGGCUUACCAAGGCUGCGAUGUCUAGGGGCUCUGAGAGGAGACUCCCCCACAAUGGUACUGAGACACGGACCAGACUCCUACGGGAGGGAGCAGUAAGGAAUAUUGAUCAAUGGACGGAAGUCUGAACCAGCCAUGCCGCGUGCAGGAGGACGGCCCUAUGGGUUGUAAACUGCUUUUAUACGGGAACAAACGUCGGUACGUGUACCGGUCUGAGUGUACCGUAAGAAUAAGGAUCGGCUAACUCCGUG